CUCUCUGGGCAUGAUUCAGGACCCCCAAGACCCAUAUUUUAGGAAUGCUGCAGGGACCCUUCACUAUGUGCUCUCCAAAGCCCCAAAGCAGAGCCAGAACAAACCAGUCGGCCCCAGCCCUGCUGCACAGCCCCCAUCAGGUGCGGUCCCUUUAAGUGCUGCCCCCUUGGCUGCCAUUGGGGGCAGCACUGAGCGGUCAGGCCAGGAUCAGCGCUGCUGCCUGGAAGCUUCUGCCGGUGCCUGGGCGCAGCAGUGCGGGGGAUACAGAGGACUCGCUUGGGUUUGUGCAGCCCACCCAGGAUUGGAGCAACAACCAGGAAUCUCUGAGGUCAGCAUGGGUACCUCUAAAGCCGGCAUGGAGCAAGCGCCUGCGGCCUUGGCAAAGGCCUGCAGCCAGGGUUGCUUCACCCCCUGCGCCCCAGGGCUAAAGCCCCAAAAGGCCGCGUGAGCUGGAGCCGCCAGCCUGGGGACGUCUUUUAAGAUGACCCGCACGGACCCACCGGACCUGCUGGUGUCGACCGUGUACCAGGACAUCAAGGUGGCGGCGCCGGGGCCCGCGUCCAGGCGCCAGCCAUGUGAGCGAUCCGUGGCCCGGCCCGCUGCGCCCGCGCCUUUCAACAAGCGCCACUGUCGCAGCUUCGAUUUCCUGGAGGCGCUGGACGGGCCGGCCAUGGAGGCCCACCCGGAGCCUCCACCCCCAGAGCCUGCCGCUCCGCGCGCGCGGCCCCGAGAAGGCGAGCCUCGGCGCCGCGCCCGCUCCAAGAGCGCGCCCCGCGCGCCCCCGGGCCUGGCACCUGCGCCCACCUCGCCGCCGGUGCUGCAGCGCCGAGGCCGGGAAACUCAGCGAGCCGUGCGAGUAGAGGGGUCGCCUCGCCGAGAGCCCGCGUACCCCGCGCUGCGCGCGCUCGCCAACGAGCUGCAUCCUAUUAAGCUGCAGCCACAACGGAGCGGCCCUGGCCGCAUCGCGCCCCUGUGUGCCGCCCCUGGCCGCUGCGCGCCACCAGAGCCCCCCACGGGGCCUGUCCCCCAUGUCCGCUGCCGUCUGGACAUCAAGCCAGAUGAUGCUGUGCUGCAGCACGCCUCCCGGAGUUCGCGACCUUGCGGGCCGGUGGACGCCGCGUCCUGGGUCCGUGCGGCCCCGCAGUUCCAUGGCCUUACGGUGCCGGGGCCCCGCCACGUGGCGCUUUCGCGUACCCCGACUCCGAGUGACUUGUACUGUGCGGACCCCCGGGCGCUGUACUGCGACGGUCCCCUGCCUGGGCCUCGGGAUUAUUCCGAGCGCCGCAGUCAGCCCUUCGCCACGCCUCCAGGCCCCACACAAUUCUUCUACACCGAGGAGCCCGAGGGCUAUACAGGAGGAUUUCCGGCCAGUCCCGGUCCUCCCUUCGAUGGCUACUGCCCUAGGCCCUACCCGACCGAGGAGACCCGGGGGCCCAGUCCGAGGCGUGGGGGCGGCUACUAUGGAGAAGUGCGCACUUUCCCAAUCCAGGAACCGCCCUCCCGCUCCUACUACGGGGAGGCCCCCAGGGCCUAUGGAUUGCCCUUUGGUCCCCGCUAUGUCCCUGAGGAUCCCCGGGCCCACACCUUCUACACAGAGGACUUCGGGAGGUACCGCGAGCGCGACGUCCUAGCUCGGACUUACCCGCACCCACGCAACAGCUCGGCCUGGGCCGACUGGGGCCCUCGGCCUUACCGCACAUUGCAGGUGGUGCCUCCCUCGGUCCCGGGUCCGCUGCUGGCCUCCUGGCAUGGCGGCACCGGCACCAGUCCACCCCGUCUGGCCACCGACAGCCGCCACUACUCGCGCUCAUGGGACAACAUCCUGGCACCAGGGUCCCGCCGGGAGGACCCCCUGGGCCGAGGCCGCAGCUAUGAGAACCUGCUAGGGCGGGAGGUGCGGGAGCAGCUGGGCGCAUCACCGGAAGGCCGGCGUCCGCCAGUAGUAGUGAACUUAUCCACCUCACCCAGACGCUACGCGGCGCUAUCGCUGUCUGAGACCUCGCUGUCCGAGAAGGGCCGCAUGGGGGAAGGCCUGGGCCGCAACUGGUACGUCACUCCGGAGAUCACCAUCACCGAUAACGACCUGCGCGCCGCCGAGCGCCCGACUGCCAGGGGCUGGGAGCUGCCGGGAGGCCGGCCGCGUGUGCCCGCGUCGGUGGCUCCCACGGGCCCCACCUCUGGCCGCCAGCGCAGCCUAGAGCAGCUGGACGAGCUCAUCACCGAUCUGGUCAUCGACUCGAGGCCACCUGCCGGCCAAGCCCCAGAGCCGUCGGCCGAGGGACUGGGCCGUCAGCUGCGCCACAGCUUACUGGACUCACGAUCCGCGGGCCCUGGAGCCCCGGCUCUGGCGCCACCGCGCUCGCCCCCAGCCUCGGCUGGAAGCGUUGAGGAGCCUGCAGGCCCUGGGGAGGCGGCCAGUGGAUCUCCAGAACCCAGCGCGGACGAGGACGACUUGAUGACCUGCUCCAACGCGCGCUGCCGGCGCACGGAAACCAUGUUCAAUGCCUGCCUCUACUUCAAGUCCUGCCACAGUUGCUACACUUACUACUGCUCGCGCCUGUGCCGCCGCGAGGACUGGGACGCACACAAGGCGCACUGCGUGUACGGCCGCGUAGGCAGCGUGUGCCGCCACGUGCUUCAGUUCUGCCGCGACAGCGGCCCGGUGCAUCGCGCCUUCUCGCGCAUCGCUCGUGUGGGCUUCCUGUCGCGCGGCCGAGGCGUGCUCUUCCUGGGCUUCCCGAGUCCCGGCUCCGCCGACAACUUCCUGCGCUUCGGUCUUGAAGGGCUGCUGUUGUCGCCCACUUACCUGUCGCUGCGCGAGCUGGCUACACACGCAGCGCCCCUAGGCAGCUAUGCGCGAGAGCUGGCGGCCGCAGGGCGGCUCUAUGAGCCGGCCGAAUGUUUCCUGCUCAGUGUGUCGGUGGCGGUAGGUCCUGGCACCGCGCCCCCGGGCGCGCCCGCUCGGCCGGCGCCCGCGCCGCGCAGCACUGGGCCCACCGUGCGUAAGUUCGCCAAGGUGGCACUGGCUGCAGGCAGCCCGGCGAGGCCACCCCCCGCGCGGGGUCGGGAGCCGGACAUGGAAACAUUGAUUCUGACACCGCCACCAGGCACGGCGGGCCUGGACCAGGAAGGCGAAGCGGGCCGGCGCGCGCGUGAGGUGGCCUUCAUCCACAUCCAACGCGAGUUGCGGCUGCGCGGCGUAUUCCUGCGCCACGAGUUCCCGCGCGUCUAUGAGCAGCUCUGCGAGUUCGUCGAGGCCAACCGACGCUUCACACCCACCACCAUCUACCCCACAGACCGGCGCACAGGCCGCCCCUUCAUGUGCAUGAUCAUGGCCGCUUCCGAGCCACGCGCGCUGGACUGGGUGGCCAGCGCCAAUCUGCUGGACGACAUCAUGUGAGGCGUGAGGCAACCAGACCCAAGCCCUGACCAGAGCCCUUGCCUAGCCCACUCAAGCCCCGCCCGGUCCACUCAGGACCGCCCCCGAGCCCCGCCCAGCUCACUCAAUCCGUCCAGGGCCAGACCAGCCCCUCACGCCUCUUCUCCUAAGCCCUGCCCCGACAAAUUCCCCGCUCCUAGCUUCCCUCGUUUUCCUGCACCCAUUGUGCUCUCCCAACUCUUCCUUUCUGCGCAACAAUUCACUGGGCUGCCCAGUUCCCACCUCCCACAGCCAGCCCUCGGGCCCCACAGAAACCGGUCCUCGCCCUCGGUGCUCCCCGCUGGGAGGUGGGGUGGGCCCGAGGACCGCCAGGCUCUGCCUUCUUGCUGAGGGUCACUACUGCACAGACCCGACCCAUGCAAAUGGAUCCAUAUCCCCUGUGGGGCUCUAAUGAAGCCCCUGCUUCCUCCUCCCCCAUGGUCCAGGAGCCUGUGUUGACCAAAGCCUAGUACAGUCGCUUUAAGCUCACCCCGUCUCUGGGUUGCGACUCCCUCAGAGGCCUUUCUCUCUGGAAGACACCCUGGUUAGCCAUUGUGCAUCUGUGUCCCAAGCGAGAAAGCCAUGUGUGAGUGCCAGGUAGGUGGUGGGCAGGGCCAGCGCCUCCCUGUUUGGAGCCUGAGCCCCAGAGGACAGAGCCAGACUCCAAGGUGCUGCCCAUCCUGCAGUCUCUCACCUCUGGCCACCUUGGUCUAGGCCCUGCAGGAGGGGUUGGAUACUCAGAGGCCAAGGGCAAGCCCCCCAGCCAGAGGGGACCUUGGGCAGGAAAAGCAGAGUGAGUGUGGGCAUCUGCCAGAGCUGGUAUCAGGCUUGGUGAGGGCCAGGGGUCUGCCCGUUCCCAACAAGGUGGCCCUAGACAGGUGCCAGGAUAGAACAUGGUGGUGGGCAUGCAAAGGCAGGCCCUAAUCCGGCAAGAGCCCAGAAGCAUGUGCAUAGGAUGGACCAGCUGGGAAGAUAGCACAGAGGCCUUCCAGGAAGCCGCACCUAUCCCCUUCCAAAGGAAGGACCAGGAAGGUCCGGGAAAGUCUCCAGUUACUUGCUGGGCAGAGAAAGAGCAGGAGAGGGUUAGCAGGCCAACAGAGUUCCAACCGAGGAGCUACCGAGCUACGUGACAAGCCCCGGGGUCAGAUCCUUUGAUUGCACACAGGUCCCAGCGGCUCUCGCUCUGGCUGCACCACCAGCUUGGUACGCUAUGGGGAGCGCACGCUGAGGCGGCCCUCCGCCGGGUCCGCUCCCCACCUCUCCCUUUACACAUCGUGUUCCGCAACGGGCUCCAAGGAAGGUCAUAUGACAUAGAGGAGAUGAGGCCAGGUGCUGUGCAAGGGCCCUCAUGAAUCCCUUAGCCCCUUAGGAGCGGGGGAGGGGGCAUUAAGUGCGAUAAACUGAGCCCUGCCUCCGCGCCCUGCUCUCGCCACCAACGGUGUUUCCACCCCAACACCCCGAGCCCCCGCCUGGGCCUGCGAGUUUGCACCGGCCCGGCGUCCCGCUUGCUGCAAUCGCCGCCGCGCCCCGGCCCCGGGACCUCGACAUUCGGCUCCACGCCUGAGGGCCGGCAGGUACGCCCCUGGACGGGAAUCGUUUCCAGAGGGCGAGCGCUUGCGAACCAAGUAAAGUAGAACUUGAAUGUAGUUGCUGCUGCCUCUUUGUGCCUGUCCCCAACCCCAGUGGCAAGGAACUUUUGCGUUGGCUGCCCGUAAUCACUGCCCGUUUUCCUAGUCCACGCUCCCUUUAAGUGCGGCAGCGUGGUCGCAAGGCUGCAAGAUACUGCACUGCGAUUGGCCAGUCCGC